rnacentral:SRP_RNA from 1 species
GCUGGGUGUGGUGGCUCACGCCUGUAAUCCCAGCACUUUGGGAAGCCGAGGCAGGAGAAUUGCUUGAGUUCAGGAGUUCUAGACCAGUCUGAGCAACAUAGCGAGAUCUUGUCUCUA